rnacentral:rRNA from 2 species
GCGACCCCAGGUCAGGUGGGAUUACCCGCUGAGUUUAA